rnacentral:lncRNA from 1 species
CAACAUGAGAGACUGAACUGAACGUAGACGAUGUGGCGUCCACAGCCUUUAGAAAAUUGGAAAAAUCAAUGGUCAAGGUAGGUGUUAAUGAUGUCAAGGUAAAUGAUCUUAUAGAUUCUGGAAGCUCUGACAACGUUAUUAGUCUCAAUAAAGUCAGAGAGAUGAAUCUAAAAAUGCAAAAUUGAGAUAAAUUAAGUGGGACAGCAUCUAAUGUUUUUCAAAGUAAUACUUUGGUGUCUGGUUCAUGUACAGAUAGCACAUAAUGCAGAGUUCGAUGAGCAUGCCAAGUUGUUUGGUCUUUCAGAAUUAUGCACCGAUGUCAUCUUGGUAUUUGAUUUUUUAGGCAUUCAUUCUGGAUUAAACAUGGCUCUAGGAAGGAAGAGGGAGCCUUCUUCAGUUAACAAUUUGAUGUGUAUCAAGGUUAUCCCUUCACCUGGAUUGUUUCGAAAUCCCCUUCUAGAUUUUAAAUCUAUCAUAACAAAGUUGUGAAAACGUACAGAUGAGGAUAUACAUUUUAUUCAUCAAGUAGUGAAAAGAUAAAUGAACGAGGAAAUUAUAGACGCAAGACAUCACCAUGGAGGGCUCAAGUGUUAAUUACUGAAAAUGGUAGGGAAAAAAAACAGAAUAGUAAUCGAAUAUUUACAAGCUAUAAUUCAAUUUACUUUGUAAGUGGCCGUCAACAAAAUUUUCAUAACGAUGGAUCAUAAAAGUGCAUAUCAACAGGUCGAGAUUGAAAAGAGUGAAAGAGGAUACACCACUUUUGAAGCCUGAUGCCGAUUAUACCAGUUUUGUUGUAUACCAUUUGGUGUCACUAACGGAGUCUCUAGUUUUCAGUGUGUGAUACAUUUCAUUCUACCCUAGGAGAAUAUGAAAAAGUCUUAUGCGUAUUUGACAAUGCCACUACAUGAGGAGAAGAUUAAAAUAAGCACGACUUACUCUGGAUUGAUUCCCUUCUUCUCAAAGAAGUUACAGUUUAUAGUACACCCUCAAGAUUUCCCUUGGAAUGUGGAAGCGAAAGAGGCUUUUCCAAAAAUGAAGAAAGGCUGUCAUCGUGGUUAUUAAUCAUAUGGAAAAAUUAACAGUAGAGAAGGAUGCUUCAGGGAGUGCCAAUGGCGCCUUCUUGAGUAAAUGUGGAAACUCGCUUGCCUUCUUUUUGAGAUCGUUGAAUAAGUCCAAGAUACAUCAUUCUGUAAUAAAAAAGGAAUUAUGUAAUUGUAGAAACUUUAAGAAUAUGGGGGAAUUUUCUAAUAGCUAAACAAUUCUUGCUUCUUACCAAUCAAAAAGUUUUGAGUUAAGCUAAAAACAUUCUAGUAAGAUCAAGAAUGAGAAAAUUUCUAGAUGAAGAUUGGAAUUGUCGUAAUUUUCUUUUGAUAUCCAAUAUACAUCCGGGGAGAAAAAUAUAAUUGCAUAUCAAUUGUCAAGAAUAUGUGGAAUAAUGUUUCAUGGCUGUAGGAUGAUACGUCUUGAACAUGUUUGCCUUCCAGUUAUUUGCCUUGUGACGCUUUUGCCUUAAGAUUUUUUUGCCAUGAGACGCUUUCACCUUGAGGCGAUUCCGCCUUGUACUGUUUUCCUUUGCAACUUUUUUUGCCUUGGAUAAUAAUAGAGAGAAUACUAGUUCUUCUUAGUAAUAUAUUUGUCUUGAAUUUUUACCUUGUAAUUCAUGUUUGAGAAAUUAGAAACAAAAAUGUAAACAGGCUAAACAAUAACAAUUCUUCAACCCUUAAUUAAUUAUAUAUGCAUAAUACACAUGUUUCAAUGCAUUGGGAAGGAAUCACAGAAUUUUAAGGAUACAUUCCGUUGCAAAGAAUCAUUGGCAAUCAUAUGCAGUCCAUUUCUUCAUCAAAAUGUCAUAAACACAUAUUGAAAUCUCUACUUACAUCAAGGACUGUAUUAAAGUUAUAGAUCAAGGUUAAGACGGGGACGUUGUCCAUGAAAGUACACAUGUAUUAGUAAAUAUUAUAUAUUUAUGUUGGAGUUUGACUUGUUUAGAGGAUAUUAAUUAUUCAUCAUAGUACCUUGUAUUCUUUUUCUAGUUCUUUCCUUUUUGUUUUCGUAUAAAGGAAUGAUCAUUUUUACUCAGUUAGAAUAGAAAUAUUUCAACCUUAACAUUGGUAACCCCGAUGUGAUAUCAUGCCUCCUCAAAAAUCUCAUUCUGAUGGCAAGACCAUGCAGACAAUGUCCUUCAGAUGGGAAAAAAAAGGAACGGAAGAGCUCCGCAACUUAACUCUUGCCGUAGGAGAACUACAUCUUCCAAAAUUUCAGGCGAUUGAUCCGGAAAAUUGGUUUCGAACAAUUGAGCUGGAUUUUUUGAUGAGGAAGGUCAAUGAAGAUCAGACCAAAUAUUGUUUAAUGGCUUCAGCAUUACCUCGUGAAGUUUUUAGGUCUAUUCCUAUUGAAAAAGAAGGUAUCAUGUAAGAUUGUGCAAGAAAGACCUUCAAAUAGAAUUUAAAAAAAUUCUGAUUUGCUGUGCAUUUCAUCAGAAUUUUUCCCUAGAAAAGUUAUAGAUGAAGUUGAGUGUCUCCUUCAUGAGGAAUACAUUCAUGAUUUCAGUCAUCAUUUACUAAGGAAGGCACUCAUCAGAAAUCAGCCUCAAGACCAACAUGGUUAAUGGAGAGCACAAUCCUAUUCAAUUGAAGAGUUGAAGCAAAUGUGUGAUGUAAACGAAGAACUUAGCCAUUCACAUAUUUCCACUUGUUGAAGAUUCGUCUGCUUUACCUCCUAUCAAUCAUGUUUUCAAAAAGCAUCUUCAUAACAGGUCUAAAUCUAAAAACUACUAAAAAAAGAUAUAUGCAAUUAUCAUUCUAAAUUUGGAAUGAACACAACUACCUGUUCAGGAGCUAGUUCCCAUUUUUUUGUACUCGUUUCGGAAAACUAAAUUACCCUCGUUUGCACGGGACUAGGGUUGUAAAUAAACCAUCAAACUUCUUUUUCAUCAAAUACAAUUCAAAUUUGAUUAUCUUUCUGGUAGAUACAGGAGUGCAAGUGUGUGUUAUUCUAUCUAAAAAAUGUUAAGUCUUGUUUGAGAAAAAAAAUUUCCUUAUUAUUGGAUAUGGAGGAACCCUUGUUGAUGUUAUUGAUAAAACAAUUUUAACUCUCAAUCAAGAAAAUCUAGGAGAUUUCCAAUGGAAAUUUAUUGUGGUACAAAGUGGACAUCCAAUUUGGGUUGCAAAUUUUGUAUGUGAUUUCAGAUUUAGAAUUGGUGUUUUCAAAAGGAGUUAUUCCGAGAUUAACCAUGCUUCAAUUCAGAACUAUCGAAGACUCAAAAAAAUAAAAUCCAAAUAAAAUGAUGUCUUUAAUAAUAAAAGUUUCAUUGAAACUUAUCUAGCUCACGGUGUGAAACACGAUAUCGAGACGAAACGUCCUCCUUGCUUUGCAAGAUCACGCAUGUUAGAUGGGCGAAGUUAAAUUUUGAACGAGUAGAAAUCAUCAAAUUGCUGAAGAAAGGAAUCCUACGAUAGUCCUCUUCUAAUUUUUCUUCCACUAUUCAACGUCGUUCCAAACACACAUCGGUAUCCCCUCCCAAAUCUAUGGGAUUUGGUAACUAAUCUAAAAAGUAUGGCUGUUUUUAGUAAAAAGGAUUUACACAGAGCGUAUAACCAAAUACCUAUGAAUAACACUUCUACAAAUAUAACUGCAAUCAUUCCACCAUUUGGUUUAUAUGAAUAUUUCAAGAAGCCUUUUGGUCUUAAAAAGGCUGCUCAGACUUUCACAGACUAAUCGAUUCAAUUCUACGUGGAAUUCCAAAUGUGUUUGUGUACCUUAAUGAUAUUCUUGUCAAUUCGGAGUAGAUGGAUCAGUUUUGGUAAACGUUAAAUGUGGUUUUAUCAAUACUUAAAACUGCUGGUAUGAUCCUCCCUCCUGAAAAAUGUGAGUUUUUCAUGAAAUUGGUAGACUUUGUUGGACAAUCUAUUUCAUCAAAAGAUUUUAGCCCUCUAGCAUAUAAGGUAAAGGCAAUCCAAGAGGUAACAACUCCAAAAUCAAAAGAUGAACUGCAUAGAUUUUUGGGCUUGGCACAAUAUUACUCACAGUUCAUAGAAAGACUGUCUCAAUGGACAGUUCAUUUGUAUCCCCUUUUAAAGAAGAAUGUAAAAUUUAAUUGGAAUACAGAACGUGAACAAGCCUUUCAAGGUAUUAAAAAUAGUUUCUCUAAAAGUAUUCAACUUACAUUCAGAGAUAGUUAAAUGCAUUUAGCCCGGACAACUGAUGCAUCUGAUACAGGAAUGGGAGCUGUUCUCUUGCAAAAGGUAAAUUAACACUGGCAACAUCUAGCUUUUUGGUCUCGGGCGCUCUCAACGACACAACAGAAAUAUUCUACGUUGGAUACCGAAUUAUUAAGUGUUAAGGAAAGUAUCAAACAUUUUAUAUGUGCUUUGGAUUGACAAGUUUUUACAGUUUUCACGGACCACAAACCUUUAGUCACUGCGAGUGACAUUUGCAAUCCGUCUUGGACACCAAGACAAUUCCGUACUUCAUAGCAGAAAUCAAUUGUAAUAUCGAACACAUUACAUACAUUGCACGACCCCUACUUGCUGGUUUUGGAAAUGUUGACUCAUUCCGUCUGGCUGUGUCAUCUCCAUAUUUGUGUCAAAGAAUCGUGCAUUCUGUACACAGGGACAAUCAUCCGUGCUUCAAAGAAACGUUAAGGAGGGGGUUCACUUUUUUAUGCUUAGCCUAAUUUGCAAAGAACGUCAAAAACUUCAUUAGAGAGUGUUUAGCGUGUCAGUAAAGCAAACUUUUCAGGACAUCAAAACCAACGUCUUCUUUCGAUCCUCCAUUUGAAAGACUUUCCUUUAUUUACGUACACAUAAUCGGUCUAUUCCCACUUAUUCAGGGACAGCGCUACGCCCUAACUGCUAUGAAUUGCUUCACAAGAUGGCUAGAAAUGAUACCUAUUCCAGGUUUGAAGAUCUGGAAACCAUUGUGUCUGACCGAGGAACACAGUUCUCAAGUUCAUUAUGGAUGGGUGUUUGCAUGACAAUUUGGAUUGCAAGCAAGAACACAACCUCGUAUCAUCCAGAGUCCAACAGACUCAUACAACGUUUCCACCGAUCAUUUAACCCGGGCUAGAGGUUCUUAUCACUAGUAUCGACCGUAAACACUAAUAUUUCACUACGGCCUACAUUCCAGAAGGCUUUUGACAAUAUAAAAUAAAAUUUGUAUAAUAAUUCUUCUAGUAGUUUUCGUUUAUUACUGCACAGAUAAUCAUUUUUUCGAAAUCUCUCCAAACAUAAUAUCUAUUUCAAUCUAAAUUUUCCCAGCUUCACUUUUCCCAUCUCGAUUGAAGGUAACAUAUAUUUGUGUGUUAGUGUAUACUUCCUCAAUCUCCGAAUAGUUCCUAAUUUACGUCCAGGUACUAUUCGCCGAGGUUCUUCCCCAACAGUUGAAAUGACUAAUGAUACUCGACUGUCUCCUCCCUUUGUCCUCCUCACUUCAGUUACUUGCAAUUCUAGAUUAAUUUUCCAAUCUUCACCUGUUGCUGUGAACCAUCCAAUAUCUGAUGUGCUGUUAUCAGUUACCUUAUACCUUUUGACUAUAACCUCAAUUACUACUGUUUUCUCAACCGGUAUGGUAGUUUUUUCAGUAAUAAAACCCCCGACUUCUCUUUAAAGGUAAAAUAAGUGUCCAGCACAAUGUGUUGAAGUGUUGUGGGGGGGGGGAUAGGACUGCUCAUUGCCAAAGUGGCCCAUUUACACAUUAGUUCCUCUCCCACAUUUAGAUCGUCCAAUAUACUCAUGGCCCCGAAUUUCCAAUGAUGGAAAUCUUUUGCCCUUCCUAAGGAUUUACAGGACUCCUUUUUAUAAUCAGCUCUUUUCGAACAGUCUUUUUUCCCUUCUCUACUAAUUUCUGUAGUUACCUAUAGUAGUAGUGACAAUUUGGGCUGCUGCCUGAUCUUGUUGUGGUUGGUUCUCUGUUGUAUUCAUUCUCCUCUAAAUUAUUAAAACAAUUAGGUAAGUAAUUUUUUUUAAAUAUAGAGACAACUUAAUUCGGUAGGACAGUGUUGUACUAUUUAUCUUGACCUUGAAUUGACUUAAAAGUUAAUUCAGAAUUCUGAUUCGAAUCAAACAGGCGUAUCACUAUUCGUCUCACACCAGUUUUUUUUGUUAAAUCAUUCCUAUUUGUAUUCAAGUUUAUAUUUCUUAUUAUUACCUCCCGUUGCAUUUACUUAAUUUUAUUUAUCCUUGGAAUUAUUUUAGACCUCUAUCAAAGCUUUACUCUUGACUCCCUGUCUUAUCAUAUGAUUCUUAAUUGAUUUAACAGCAAAGAUACUAUGCCUGUCUGACCCAAACAAAAUGAAACUCAUGCACACAUUAUGUUCGUUGCAAUCCAAUACCCUUACUGCAAUAUUGAUUGAUUUACAUAAAAUUAUGCAAUACAGUUUCCUUUAGUAGAGAAGUAAAGGUUAAAUAAAUCAAAAUUGAAUUUAUUAUACAAUGGAAAGAGGUUUCUGACUUCCUAUUUAUAUAUCUUGUACACCAUCACAAUUACUCAUUUUAUACGAUUCAGAAGUCAGUAUGUGUUUGUGAUUGUUUGAAUAUCCAAAAUUAUUCACUGAAUAACAAUUUGUCUUUCUUCAAAAUGAAAAUUGAUGAUUUUAAACUUCUGUAUCCAUUCAAUAAAGGAUAUUUGAGUACACUUUUGAAAUUAAAAAUGAUAAUGUUAAAAUUCAAAAUGGCUAGAGUUCAUAAAAACUUUUCAAAACUAUUUUUUUCAUGAAUACACAACCAAAAAUCAAAUUAAGAGAUAAUUAAUCCUACAAAAUGAGAAACUCAACAAACGUUAAGAUAAUAAUACAAAAUCUUGACACUUCUAUUUUUAGAAUUUAUAUUUACAAAAACUUUUCAUAGUAUAUUUAUGAUAUAUACAAAGAUAUGGACAAGAUGCAAAUUUUCUACUAUAAAAAUGUAUAUAAACACACAAUAUUUAAAUCUCCGAAGUAAAUUAAUCUAAAAAGAGUGUACAUUUCUUGCAACGCUCUCCGAAAUUUUUAGUUACCUUGGACAACACUACAAAUCAAUUGUUGUCUUGUAUUUACUAUUUAUCAACCACUAAAAGGGAUGCUUAUAUCGGAAGGGUCUUUGAACUAUGUUUUUCUUCCAUUCCUUAGGAUACAAAAUCCUCACAGUAAUAGGAUUACCACAUAUAAUCCCCAACUAUGCAUAAGAUAUAAACACACAAGACUGCAAGAUCAUUUACUACCGAAGAACAGCGAGGGAAGCAAAAACGAAGGGUUGAAGUUAGCACAGCAAAAACUAUGAUUGUUAUAGCUGAUAAGUUAAUGAAGUAUGUUGAUAUGUAAUAUAAAUAUAUGAUAUUACAAGUACAUGUAGACUUUCAUGGACGAGGUCCCCAUCUUGACCUUGAUCUAUAACUUUAGUACACUCCUUGAUGUGAGUAGAGAUUUAAAUAUAUCUUCAUGUCAUUUUGACGAAAAAAAUGGACUGCAUAUGAUUCCCAAUGAUUCUUUGGAACAGAACGUAGUAGUAGCAUUUUGUGAUUCCUUCCCAAUGCUUUGAAAUCUACGUGUUAUUUAUAUAUUAUUAAUUAUGGGUUGAAGAAUUGUUAUUGUCUUGCUUGUUUACAUUUUUGUUUAUAAUUUCUCAAAAUGGAAUACAACAGUAAACAUUCCAAAUAAAUAUAUAUCUAAGAAAAACUAGCAUUACCUCUAUUAUUAUUCAAGGCAAAAAAGUCUCAAGCCAAAAACGUCGCAAGGCAAAACAGUACAAGACAAAAACGCCUCAAAGAAAAAGCGUCACAAGGCAAAAACGUCUCAAAGCAAAAUGAUCACAAGGUGAAAUUGUCAAUAGGCGAAUACGUACAAUGCAAAAAAAUUCAAGGCGAAUCCUACUGACACGAUGUUUGAUAACUCCUCUGAUAAACCGCAUAGUAUUCAUGAGAAGUUAUGGCAACCUCAGAUUACCCGAAAGUUUCCUUUUCCUUAUCCAUAUAUAGGCCCUUUUUCAAAAUCAGUGACUAGAUGUCUUCAGGAGUUUGGGGCUAUUUUUUGUCUACCGGAAAAUAUUCAUUCAGACCGAGGAUUAGCUUUUAUGUCUCAAGAAUUGAAGACAUAUUUAACUCUAAGAGGAAUCACCAGUGAUGAAUAUUCUAUGUCCCAGCGGCAUGUUAAAAAAAAGAAACCGAAAAGUAACGUGCUAACCCUCACAAUUUGAAGAUUGUUUGAGAUUAGAGCAGCUUAUCUGACAUGAUGCUUUAUUAGAUUAGCUGUGAGCAGCUCUGAGAGAGAUGGAAAGAAAGAAAGAAAACACAAAUCAUACUCCGUAUGACGCAAUCUCUGAAGCAUACCUUUACAGUUAGUUGUUCCAAGGAUAUUUUAUAUUACUGUUGUAGUACUUAAAAUGCUUUUAAUAAUGUCAUUAAUUACAUGUGUGUGACUCGAAAAAAAAUAAAGGAAUCCGUUCCUAAGCAGCAGCAAGUCUUUGGAAGUCCUUAUUUCUUCCUCAAAGCACGAUGUGGAUAAGUAUCUACUUCAUUGUCGUCAUAUGGGAUUCAAGAUGUCAAAUUUUACUCCGAAUCAGCAAGUGUAUUUCCUUAGUUAUAGUGGGGGAGGAUAUCACCCUCCUUAGGGAAGGACUUUAAUGUGAGGAAGAGGAAAAACACCAAUAUGAUCCCUCAUUAGUUUGGAUGAGCCUUUCUGACCUUAAAUUUCAUCAAGAAAGGAUAUACUAAUCUAUGUUGGUGGACACAUUUCAGGAUAAUUUGAAAAGGAGUUUUCCUCAUUUACAAAAUACAACGUCAACAUAUGGUAUUAUAUCUACGAUAUCUUUAUAAAUGAUCAAACGCUGCAUAAGCGUGCAAAGAUAUAUUAUAUUCUGUACAUAUAUAGCCUAAUGAAGUUAUAGGGAUUUCCCGGUGGUCAGGUGGGAUGGUUUCUUCACCAAGAAUGAAAUAAACUUGUCAAUGACUCCUCCUAAGUUAUUUGACACUUCAACUUUUUCAAAUAAAAAAUAAUUAAUACUUAAGGAAAGACGAAAAAUCCAUUGCUGAAGGUUAUCAGAUUAUGGUACUUGUUAGCUCCAUAAUUUGAAAUAUUGUGUCAAGAUGAUUAUUGCAUUUCAUAUUUAGGGUUUUCUUAAAUCUCCAUAUAAAUAUUGGACACUGUGACUGGUCAAUUUAAUUGCUUGCUCGAACUUCAUAUAGUUAUUAAAAAACUUACAACGACUUUGCUUCAUCAAUAUUUCAAGAAAGUUAGAUACCUCGUCGAGAGUCGAUAUUCCAGGAGCAAAUUUCAAAUUUGCAAUACGCAGAGGUGCCACACAAGGAGAUUUGAUAUCUACAACACUGUUCAUAAUUGGUACUAACGGUUUGUGCAAUAAAAUAAUGCUAAAUAAUGCAAUCAAAGUCAUGGUCGAUGGAGUACUUUUUAGAGCGCUCUUGAAUUGCCGGCAGGAGCAAGUGAGAGAUGCAAUACGUGAAAUAUUUGAUAUCAAGGUUAUGUUUGUAAGCCAUGUUUUCCAUUUUACUUUUUCAUUUUUCUCUCUCCCAUAAAAUAUUUUUACUUCUUUAAAUUAAUAACUGGGAAUUGUUUUUUUUUAUUAUUAAAGAUAUGAAAUAUUACAAUUAGAUUUGUUUAUUGUACAUGAAAUAAGUGAAUAAAUAUAUAUUAAUAUAUGUAGUAUAGAAUAAAAAAUAAAAAAAAAAGAAGUUAAAUACCAAUUCAGAAUCCAACUACUGAGAAAUAUGGAUACCAAUUAUAAACGAUCGGAAGAACAAUAGAGUCAAAUUAAACGAAGCCUAUUGUACGUUUUAUAAACGUUUAUAAAUAUAUUAAUUCAACUAUAAACCUCAUAUUUACAUAGUCUGUUCUUAAUAAUCUCUAAUUAUUUGAUUUUAAGCUGCAAAAUAUUACCAAAUAAGGAAAUUUGUGUAUAAUAUAGUGAUGAUUAUUUUUUAUACUUUUAUAAUACAAUA